rnacentral:misc_RNA from 1 species
UAUAUGCCUUUAAACAAAUCCAUCACCAGGGAAAUCAUAAGGAGCUAUCAAGAAAUGUUAUAAGUUAUGCUGAAAGGAAGCCCUCAAAUCUUAAAAUUUUGGGUUUGCAAAGUAUUGUAUACUGAGAAGAUGAUGAUGGUGAUGUUGAAUGGAUUGGUAAUUAUCACAUUGGUCCUCUCGCAGUGGGCUUUACCAACAUGAGUUGGAAAGCUAAGGUUAGAGAAUCCAAGGUGGAAGAAGGUAACCCCUGCAUUAUUAUUAUCUUACUAUUUUUUCAACCUUUUUUACUUUCGG